GAUCGAUGGCCCUCAAAGGAUAGAAUUGAAAAUAUUUUAAUCCAUCGAAAAGAGUUUUGAUAAUAUUGUGAUGGAGAUCACAGUAUAUCUCACUACCAGAUAGAAUAAAAUUUAUGAGAUCACAUAUUAAGGGAUUUAAUCUCGAAUUUAUCAAUUGGGCUUAUGAAAUUUUAAUUGGGUUAAGAUUUAGUGAAAUCCUAUUAAGUUUAUA
rnacentral:lncRNA from 1 species